rnacentral:tRNA from 1 species
GGAGUUGUGGCUCAGUGGUACAGCACUCGCCUAGCAUGUGUGAGGCCCUGGGUUCGAUUCUCAGCACUGCA